CUGGUGCCACUUACACCGAGGGCAUAUCUGAAUUCCACUAGCCUCAGAUCAUGUGCAUAGGUCAGGGGCCACCACCUCGGCCUGGAAAGCCCCAGAAGAUGCUGCUAUUACUAUUCCACUGAUGCAGUUGUUUUCCAAGGGGUCCCCUGGCCUUGACCUUCCAGGAAGUCCUGCUCACCACUUUCUCUGGCCACAAAUAGAAGAGAGAGCCCUGCCCCAAGGUCUUUCAUAUGUACCAGAGGAGCUUGGUCACAAGAAGUUGCUGCUGACUCCCUCAGGAUUCUGCUGGGCUGUGCUUCAGCGGUCACCUCGAGUUGAAAAGGAAUGGUAGACUCUGUGGAAUUACAGCACCGAGUUGCAAAUGGUGCACAAAAUACAAGUCCCGCACCAGUGCACCAGGAGCCGUCUGAUGUGAGUUGCAGGUCACCUUAGUCAAUUAGGUAACUUUGUAACCAGGAUGAGAGACAGACCUCUGGAGCAUAAACGAACCUACGUGGGUGAAGAAUGCCAAGAUCUGGAUCAACAUACUCACCUAAAAACCCUAUUCUUAAUAUGAAAACUCAAAGGAAUUAUUAUCACCUAAAUACACCGUGCCUUAUGCUGACCCUUACUCAAAAGACACUAUAAAACCCCAACCCCUAAACCCUUAUGCACACCUCCUCCCUGAGGUCACCCACACUCGCGUCUGAGUUUGUACUGUCUUAUCAAAUAAACGUUCUGAU